rnacentral:hammerhead_ribozyme from 1 species
ACCCAGCUGACAAGUCCUAAAUAGGACGAAAAGCGCAUCAUGGAU